CGAAUGCUGACAUAAGUAACGAUAAAGCGGGUGAAAAGCCCGCUCGCCGGAAGACCAAGGGUUCCUGUCCAACGUUAAUCGGGGCAGGGUGAGUCGACCCCUAAGGCGAGGCCGAAAGGCGUAGUCGAUGGGAAACAGGUUAAUAUUCCUGUACUUGGUGUUACUGCGAAGGGGGGACGGAGAAGGCUAUGUUGGCCGGGCGACGGUUGUCCCGGUUUAAGCGUGUAGGCUGGUUUUCCAGGCAAAUCCGGAAAAUCAAGGCUGAGGCGUGAUGACGAGGCACUACGGUGCUGAAGCAACAAAUGCCCUGCUUCCAGGAAAAGCCUCUAAGCAUCAGGUAACAUCAAAUCGUACCCCAAACCGACACAGGUGGUCAGGUAGAGAAUACCAAGGCGCUUGAGAGAACUCGGGUGAAGGAACUAGGCAAAAUGGUGCCGUAACUUCGGGAGAAGGCACGCUGAUAUGUAGGUGAAGCGACUUGCUCGUGGAGCUGAAAUCAGUCGAAGAUACCAGCUGGCUGCAACUGUUUAUUAAAAACACAGCACUGUGCAAACACGAAAGUGGACGUAUACGGUGUGACGCCUGCCCGGUGCCGGAAGGUU
rnacentral:rRNA from 1 species